rnacentral:rRNA from 1 species
UACGUAGGGCGCAAGCGUUUGUCCGGAAUUAUUGGGCGUAAAGAGCUCGUAGGCGGCUUGUUGCGUCGGUUGUGAAAGCCCGGGGCUUAACCCCCGGGUCUGCAGUCGAUACGGGCAGGCUAGAGUGUGGUAGGGGAGAUCGGAAUUCCUGGUGUAGCGGUGAAAUGCGCAGAUAUCAGGAGGAACACCGGUGGCGAAGGCGGGUCUCUGGGCCGAUACUGACGCUGAGGAGCGAAAGCGUGGGGAGCGAACAGG